rnacentral:rRNA from 1 species
AUUGAACGCUGGCGGCAGGCCUAACACAUGCAAGUCGAGCGAGCGGCGGACGGUUGAGUAAUGUCUGGGAACCCGCCUGAUGGCGGGGGAUAACUACUGGAAACGGUAUCUAAUACCGCAUAACAUCCGAUGUGCCCAGAUGGGAUUAGCUAGUAGGUGGGGUAAUGGCUCACCUAGGCGACGAUCCCUAGCGGGUCUGAGAGGAUGACCAGCCAAACGGGAACUGAGACACGGUCCAGACUCCUACGGGAGGCAGCAGUGGGGAAUAUGGGACAAUGGGCGAAAGCCGGAUGCAGCAAUGCCGCGUGAGUGAAGAAGGCUUUCGGGUUGUAAAGCACUUUCAGCGGGGAAGCGGUACCCGAAGAAGAAGCACCGGCUAACUACGUGCCAGCAGCCGCGGUAAUAC